CCUGGUUGAUCCUGCCAGUAGUCAUAUGCUUGUCUCAAAGAUUAAGCCAUGCAUGUGUAAGCACACACUGUUUUAAAAGUGAAGCCGCGAAUGGCUCAUUACAACAGCCACAGUUUAUUAGAACUUACAAUCAUGGAUAACUGUGGUAAUUCUAGAGCUAAUACACGCACAAAAACUUCAACUGAAUUGGUUGAAGUGCUUUUAUUAGAACAAAAACCGAACGGCGUUUGGCGAAUGUUGAACGUCGAAACUGUUUGGUGAAUCUGAAUAACUAUUUCUGAUCGCAUGGUCUAGCACCGGCGACAUCACUUUCAAGUGUCUGCCUUAUCAACCUUCGAUGGUAGUCUAUGCGACUACCAUGGUGAUAACGGGUAACGGAGAAUCAGGGUUCGACUCCGGAGAGGGAGCCUGAGAAACGGCUACCACAUCCAAGGAAGGCAGCAGGCGCGCAAAUUACCCACUCCCAGCUUGGGGAGGUAGUGACGAAAAAUAACGAGACGAUUCUCGUUUGAGAAACGUUAUCGAAAUGAGUACGCUUUACACACGCUAACGAGUAGCAAUUGGAGGGCAAGUCUGGUGCCAGCAGCCGCGGUAAUUCCAGCUCCAAUAGCGUAUAUUAAAGUUGCUGCGGUUAAAACGCUCGUAGUUGAAUUGUGGUCUUAGACAACAGUCCCCCUACAUAGGUGUGGCACGGUUGCUCGAGAUCUUCAUUCGUGGUUGCUGUUGUUGCUCUUCAUUGAGUGUCAAUGGUGCCUCGAGAUUUUACUUUGAAAAAAUUAGAGUGCUCAAAGCAGGUUGUGAUGCCUGAAUAAUGGUGCUUGUGAUGCCUGAAUAAUGGUGCAUGGAAUAAUAGAAUACGAUCUCGGUUCUAUUUUGUUGGUUUUCGAACCGGAGAUAAUGAUUGAAAGGAACAGACGGGGGCAUUCGUAUUGCUGCGUUAGAGGUGAAAUUCUUGGAUCGCAGCAAGAUGAACAAUUGCGAAAGCAUUUGCCAAGAAUGUUUUCAUUAAUCAAGAACGAAAGUUAGAGGUUCGAAGGCGAUCAGAUACCGCCCUAGUUCUAACGGUAAACUAUGCCAACCAGCGAUUCGCCGAAGUUCAUUUAAGACUCGGCGAGCAGCUUCCGGGAAACCAAAGUGUUUCGGUUCCGGGGGAAGUAUGGUUGCAAAGCUGAAACUUAAAGGAAUUGACGGAAGGGCACCACCAGGAGUGGAGCCUGCGGCUUAAUUUGACUCAACACGGGAAAACUCACCCGGCCCGGACACUGGAAGGAUUGACAGAUUGACAGCUCUUUCUUGAUUCAGUGGGUAGUGGUGCAUGGCCGUUCUUAGUUGGUGGAGCGAUUUGUCUGGUUAAUUCCGAUAACGAACGAGACUCUACCCUAUUAAAUAGUGACAGUAUUGUAUUUUUUGUGCUGAUCACUUCUUAGAGGGACUGGCAAAUUGAAAGCUGCACGAAAAAGAGCAAUAACAGGUCUGUGAUGCCCUUCGAUGUCCGGGGCUGCACGCGCGCUACAAUGAAAGCGUCAACGUGAGUUACGUCCUUACCUGAAAAGGUUUGGCAAUCGAAUGAAACGUUUUCUUGAAUGGAAUAGGGAAUUGCAAUUGUUUCCCUUGAACGAGGAAUUCCCAGUAAGCGUGAGUCAUUAGCUCGCGUUGAUUACGUCCCUGCCCUUUGUACACACCGCCCGUCGCUACUACCGAUUGGAUGAUUUAGUGAGGUGUUUUGACUGGCGCCAGUAGUCGGAUGUAUUCGGCUUCGCGCCGGGAAAUUUCCCAAACCAAAUCAUCUAGAGGAAGUAAAAGUCGUAACAAGGUUUCCGUAGGUGAACCUGCGGAAG
rnacentral:rRNA from 1 species